UACGGAGGGUGCUAGCGUUGUUCGGAUUUACUGGGCGUAAAGGGCGCGUAGGCGGCCAGAUCAGUCGGGUGUGAAAGCCCGGGGCUCAACCCCGGAACGGCACCCGAGACGGUUUGGCUGGAGACCGGGAGAGGAGGGUGGAAUAGCCAGUGUAGAGGUGAAAUUCGUAGAUAUUGGCUGGAACACCGGUGGCGAAAGCGGCUCUCUGGCCCGGUUCUGACGCUGAGGCGCGAAAGCGUGGGGAGCAAACAGG
rnacentral:rRNA from 1 species